GAUGAAGAACGCAGCGAAAUGCGAUAAGUAAUGUGAAUUGCAGAAUUCAGUGAAUCAUCGAAUCUUUGAACGCACAUUGCGCCCGCCAGUAUUCUGGCGGGCAUGUCUGUUCGAGCGUCAUUUCAACCCUCAAGCCCCCGGGCUUGGUGUUGGGGAUCGGCGUGCCCUCGCGGCGCGCCGUCCCCUAAAUCUAGUGGCGGUCUCGCUGUAGCUUCCUCUGCGUAGUAGCAACACUCGCACUGGAUCGCAGCGCGGCCACGCCGUUAAACCCCCCACUUCUGAAAGUUUGACCUCGGAUCAGGUAGGAAUACCCGCUGAACUUAAGCAUAUCAAUAAGCGGAGGA
rnacentral:misc_RNA from 1 species